rnacentral:tRNA from 1 species
UAAAUUUUAAGUUAAUUAAACUAAUAGCCUUCAAAGCCAUAAAUAUGAAAAAUUUUCUUAAAUUUAA